GACGAACGCUGGCGGCGUGCUUAACACAUGCAAGUCGAGCGGAAAGGCCCUUCGGGGUACUCGAGCGGCGAACGGGUGAGUAACACGUGAGUAACCUGCCCCAGACUUUGGGAUAACCCUCGGAAACGGGGGCUAAUACCGGAUACGACACAGCUUCGCAUGGGGUCUGUGUGGAAAGUUUUUCGGUUUGGGAUGGGCUCGCGGCCUAUCAGCUUGUUGGUGGGGUAAUGGCCUACCAAGGCGACGACGGGUAGCCGGCCUGAGAGGGCGACCGGCCACACUGGGACUGAGACACGGCCCAGACUCCUACGGGAGGCAGCAGUGGGGAAUAUUGCACAAUGGGCGGAAGCCUGAUGCAGCGACGCCGCGUGAGGGAUGACGGCCUUCGGGUUGUAAACCUCUUUCAGCAGGGACGAAGCGUAAGUGACGGUACCUGCAGAAGAAGCGCCGGCCAACUACGUG
rnacentral:rRNA from 1 species